CGAUUUGCUCAUGGAUUGUCGUCCAUCGCCUACCGCAGCCGCAGGAGCAGAAGCACCGCCACCAACAACAUAUCGCAUAGGCUACGCGCUUUCACCAAAGAAAGUGGAAAGCUUCAUCCAGCCCUCUCUCCUCAAUCUCGCCAAACAACGCCACAUCCAUCUCCUUCCAAUCGACCUCCACAAGCCCUUAUCCCACCAGGGCCCUUUUGAUUGCCUCCUUCACAAGUUAUCCGGCCCCGACUGGACUCAACAGCUCCGCCACUUCUCUUCCCUCCACCCUGACGUCCCCAUCAUCGACCCUCCCGACGCCGUCCUCCGCCUCCACGAUCGCCUUUCCAUGCUUCAAGUCGUCCGCGACUUACACCUACCGGAACCAAUCGACGAAUCCGACUCCUCUUCUUCUUCUUCUUGCUCUUUCGGAAUCCCUCACCAGGUAUUGGUCCCAGAUCCCCAACAUCUCCGAGAACAGGGAUUGCCUAGCCCCCUCGAGUUUCCGGUGAUCGCGAAGCCCUUGCUCGCUGACGGGACCGCCAGCUCUCACCAGAUGUCUUUGGUCUUCA
rnacentral:lncRNA from 1 species